rnacentral:rRNA from 1 species
ACGGGAGGCAGCAGUGGGGAAUAUUGGGCAAUGGGCGAAAGCCUGACCCAGCAACGCCGCGUGAAGGAUGACGGUCUUCGGAUUGUAAACUUCUUUAAUUGGGGAAGAAUAAAUGACCUACCCAAAGAAUAAGUCACGGCUAACUACGUGCCAGCAGCCGCGGUAAUACGUAGGUGACAAGCGUUAUCCGGAUUUACUGGGCGUAAAGGGCGUGUAGGCGGUUUGGCAAGUCAGAAGUGAAAUUCCCGAGCUCAACUUGGGCGCUGCUUCUGAAACUACAGAACUUGAGUACUGGAGGGGAAAGCGGAAUUCCUAGUGUAGCGGUAAAAUGCGCAGAUAUUAGGAGGAACACCGGUGGCGAAGGCGGCUUUCUGGACAGUAACUGACGCUGAGGCGCGAAAGCGUGGGGAGCAAACAGGAUUAGAUACCCUGGUA